rnacentral:misc_RNA from 1 species
AUUGCACUAGAGAAUACGAAUCAUAGGGGCUCUGAAGGUGGACAGGGUGAUGUUCAUGUUGAGGGCGAGGCACUCCAUAAUAGUAGGCCAUCUGGAAAUUUGAGUAUGCAGGCACAGCCAUAUGGUGAUAAUACCAAGGCAGGUUCGGAUUAUUCAUCUUCUGAAAGGAGUUAGACCAAGUUUGUGCUGUGAACCCAUGUCCUUCUGGAGGAAUACUAGAUGUGGGUUGUAGAGUUUAAAUGAGAUGUUAGU